ensembl:lncRNA
UAUUGAUGCAGGUAAGGUGGUUGGCGAGCCUGCUGACAUUUUGGGAGGUCAUAUGUGAUAAAUCAAUAAAAUAAGUCAUUGACUUUUUUUGUUUUGUUUUUAUGUUUUGACUUCUGUGCCAUUUAAAUUUGACAAUAAAAAAAAGAUUUCAGUCAGGACCACUUCAGUCGAACUUUGAUUUCCAUCUGCGGUGAGUUAUAUUUGGAGGUAUGACUGUUCUGGGACCUCCCUGCCUUUCUAUGUGCAGCAGCAAAGACCCCAUAGAAUGAAAAACAGAAAAUUAACAUUGAUUUAAAGGUCCAGUGUGUUACAUUAAGGAGGGUUUAGUGGCAGAAAUGUAAUAUAAUAUAAAUAACUAUGUUUUCAUGAGUGUAUAAUCACCUGAAAAUAAGAAUCGUGUUUUUGUUACCUUAGAAUGAGCUGUUUUAUCAUCUAUCGAUUGGGCCUGUGUUUUUGUGUAGUUUCUCCUUUGCGGUUGGAGGGGGAGGGCGAAGUGAGGGAGCUGUAAUCUGCAACUACACUGCUAGAUGCCACUAAAUCCUACACACUGGACCUUUUGAAGUCCGACACGUGAAAAGCAGAAGCUGGGCUGGAUGCAAGUGGCAAAGCGGCCUGCAGAGGAAGCAGCCAGAGUUGCUCUGCUCCAGUUCAGGAACUGGAGAUAUGAAAGGACUCCAGCUUCUCCUGGGUGCACGCAACACAGCGGAGCAGCUAAACCGACACAGAUCAGAUCAGACCCAGCUCUGCCUCCCACUGACCCAAAUACAGACUCCCAUCAGCCACUCCUGCUCAACUGAAGCUCGGUGAAACAAGCUCGGUGUCUUAAAAUGCUUAAGACGAGCCAUAUGUGAGAGAAAACAUGUUGUCCCAGCGAGGAAUGGAGAUUUUUUCUGACAUGUUUAGGGAUUAUUAUGGAUGUGACUCUUUCCAGCACAGUUGCUAGUAAGUGUGAGGCUUAAACUUAUUGUAAACUUUAAAAGUAAAAGUUCAUCACCAAACUCAACAAAAAAGUCGGGGCAAAUUCCAGGGUCAGUUUUGCACAUGCACAUGCUUAAAGUUAACAAUAAUAUAAUAUAUAAUAUGCAAUGUCUGGUUAUACUUUCAAAAUAAAGCUUGAAGAAUAAUCAGAAUUGGUUUUAUUACCAAGUAGGUUUUCGCAUGCUAGGAAUUUGCCUUGGUAUAUUGGUGCAUAACAAUAACCAUAGAAAAAUAUAAAUAAAGAUGGAAUAGAGACAAUAAAAAGAGAUAAUAUACACAAAUAUAAAAAGAUGUGUGCAAUAUGACUGUUAUUUAAAUAAAUGGUUUAGACACAAAACUACAGGUUUUGGUAAAAAUAAGAAUGUAAUAAAUGCUCGCUAUUUAUACGACCUUACCUCAACAACACAUCCAAACAACAACAACGCCAGACUGGCUCGUCCAGAAAUGACCACAGUUCCCAUGGAACCUGGAAAACCUGGAAAACUUGUAGAAUUAGAGAAUAGUUUUCUAGUCAUUGAAACACCUGGUUGCAAAUUGAUUAAAAUGACCAAAUAUCCUGGAAAUUUGUGUAUUUUAGGUCUUUUAGUUUGAAACUCGACUGUUGAUAAGCUUUAAAGCAGGUUUUUACCAGUGAUCUUUCCAGCAUCGUGUCUUAUUUUAAGCGAAAUGUUCAUAUCUACAUGCAUACAGCUUAAUAAUAAUCGUAUUUCUUGUUGCUGUGUCUGAUAAAUACAUGCACAGUGAUGUUAAUUGUAUGCGCAAUAAACACUAACUUUUUAGAAGAUGUUUUUUUUCUGUAAAAUAAAAUAAAUUCUGCUUGAUUUGUUACUUGUGGCCAAAUUAAUGUUGUCAAUUUGCCUGAAACCACAGCUUAUAUGACCGUUUGUAAGCCAGUGCAGUCCUGUAUUGUCAAGAAAAACUCUUGGAAAAUGUUUUGUUAAAGGAGUGGGACCCCUGAUGACACUAGAGGGGUACCUACAGUAUCCUAGUUAGAAGCACAGGGCCACUGACCAAGCUGCCAGAACGGGC